UUAUCUCUGUAGAGUCUGCAUAUCAAUAAGCGGAGGAAAAGAAACUAACUAGGAUUCCCUUAGUAACGGCGAGUGAAGCGGGAAGAGCUCAGAUUUGAAAUCUUCAAGGUUCUACCUUGACGAAUUGUAGUUUAAAGAAGUGUUUUCUGUUGGAGUUUUGGUAAAAGUUCUUUGGAAUAGGACAUCAUAGAGGGUGAGAAUCCCGUAUUUGACCAUUAUUUCCAGCUUUGUGAUACACUUUCAAAGAGUCGGAUUGUUUGGGAAUGCAGUCCAAAAUGGGUGGUAAAUUUCAUCUAAAGCUAAAUAUUGGCGAGAGACCGAUAGCGAACAAGUACCGUGAGGGAAAGAUGAAAAGAACUUUGAAAAGAGAGUUAAACAGUACGUGAAAUUGUCAAAAGGGAAGCGUUUGACACCAGUGUUGUUUUCUCGAAAAUCAAUUAAAAAAAGUUGGAUUUUGUAUUGUUAAGACCUUAUCAGCUUACUGUACUCUUUUCUUGCUUUUUUUAAUGCACCUUUCGUUUAACAAGUCAACAUCAAUUUCUUUUGUUGUAAAAGAGUCAUUGGAAGGUGGCUUUCACUUCGGUGAAAGUGUUUAUAGCCUUUGGCUUCUGCAAUCGGAGAGAUUGAGGUCUGCAGCGUAGAUCCUUCGGGGCUAGAUACGUAGAUGCUAAGUUAUAGUUUUUUAUAGACAACUUGUUGACUAUAAUUAAUCAUGUAGCUUACUCGUUUGCGCUAUUUUACCUACGCUUAGGAUGUUGACGAUCAGCUGAGCGCG
rnacentral:rRNA from 1 species